UACGUAGGGUGCAAGCGUUGUCCGGAAUUAUUGGGCGUAAAGAGCUCGUAGGCGGCUUGUCGCGUCUGCUGUGAAAACUCGGGGCUUAACCCCGGGCCUGCAGUGGGUACGGGCAGACUAGAGUGCGGUAGGGGAGACUGGAAUUCCUGGUGUAGCGGUGAAAUGCGCAGAUAUCAGGAGGAACACCGGUGGCGAAGGCGGGUCUCUGGGCCGUAACUGACGCUGAGGAGCGAAAGCAUGGGGAGCGAACAGG
rnacentral:rRNA from 1 species